rnacentral:rRNA from 1 species
UACGAAGGGGGGCUAGCGUUGCUCGGAAUCACUGGGCGUAAAGGGUGCGUAGGCGGGUCUUUUAAGUCAGGGGUGAAAUCCUGGAGCUCAACUCCAGAACUGCCUUUGAUACUGAGGAUCUUGAGUUCGGGAGAGGUGAGUGGAACUGCGAGUGUAGAGGUGAAAUUCGUAGAUAUUCGCAAGAACACCAGUGGCGAAGGCGGCUCACUGGCCCGGAACUGACGCUGAGAUGCGAAAGCGUGGGGAGCAAACAGG